rnacentral:tRNA from 1 species
GGUGUUAUGGCUCAGUGGUGGAGCACUUGCCUACCAUGCAUGAGGCAUUUGGUUUGAUCCUGGCACCA